rnacentral:lncRNA from 1 species
CCAUAUUUUCAUGGGAUCUAUCUUGAUUCUCGAAGUUUUACUUCUAGAAAUAAUCAUGAAUAUUCGUUAUUAUGUGCUAGAAAUUCUGAUAAGGCCUAGGCUCCUUAGCUAAAGCAAUGGCGUCUCUGUUGUCACAGUAUAGUAUUGUACCAUCUGAUAAUAUGACAUUAGUUCUGUAACAAAUCUUUUUUAACCAGAAGGCUUCCCUAGCA